rnacentral:rRNA from 1 species
AUUGAACGCUGGCGGCAUGCUUUACACAUGCAAGUCGAACGGCAGCGCGGGCUUCGGCCUGGCGGCGAGUGGCGAACGGGUGAGUAAUGCAUCGGAACGUGCCCAGUAGUGGGGGAUAGCCCGGCGAAAGCCGGAUUAAUACCGCAUACGACCUGAGGGUGAAAGCGGGGGACCGAAAGGCCUCGCGCUAUUGGAGCGGCCGAUGUCGGAUUAGCUAGUUGGUGGGGUAAAGGCUUACCAAGGCGACGAUCCGUAGCUGGUCUGAGAGGACGACCAGCCACACUGGGACUGAGACACGGCCCAGACUCCUACGGGAGGCAGCAGUGGGGAAUGUGGGACAAUGGGGGCAACCCUGAUCCAGGCAUGCCGCGUGCGAGAAGAAGGCCUUCGGGUUGUAAACCGCUUUUGUUCGGGAAGAAAUCCUCUGGGCUAAUACCCCGGGGGGAUGACGGUACCGGAAGAAUAAGCACCGGCUAACUACGUG